rnacentral:rRNA from 1 species
GCCUUAUACUGCCGUCGAGCGCAUCCUUCGAGAUGAGCGGCGGACGGGUGAGUAACGCGUGGGAAUGUGCCCUUCUCUACGGAAUAGCCCUGGAAACGGUGAGUAAUACCGUAUACGCCCUCAGGGGGAAAGAUUUAUCGGAGAAGGAUCAGCCCGCGUUAGAUUAGGUAGUUGGUGGGGUAACGGCCUACCAAGCCUACGAUCUAUAGCUGGUUUUAGAGGAUGAUCAGCCACACUGGGACUGAGACACGGCCCAGACUCCUACGGGAGGCAGCAGUAGGGAAUCUUGGACAAUGGGGGCAACCCUGAUCCAGCCAUGCCGCGUGAGUGAAGAAGCCCUAGGGUCGUAAAGCUCUUUCGCCUGUGAUGAUAAUGACAGUAGCAGGUAAAGAAACCCCGGCUACUCCGUGCCACAGCCCG